rnacentral:rRNA from 1 species
UAAACGAAAGUUUGACUAAGUUAUAUUAAUCAGGGUUGGUAAAUCUCGUGCCAGCCACCGCGGUCAUACGAUUAACCCAAGCUAACAGGAAUACGGCGUAAAACGUGCUAAAGCACCACAUUAAAUAGGGUUAAAUUUUAAUUAAGCUGUAAAAAGCCAUGAUUAAAAUAAAAAUAAAUGACGAAAGUGACCCUACAACAGCCGAUGCACUAUAGCUAAGACCCAAACUGGGAUUAGAUACCCCACUAUGCUUAGCCCUAAACACAGAUAAUUACAUAAACAAAAUUAUUUGCCAGAGUACUACCAGCAACAGCUUAAAACUCAAAGGACUUGGCGGUGCUUUA